rnacentral:tRNA from 43 species
GGGCCUUUAGCUCAGUUGGUUAGAGCAACCGGCUCAUAACCGGUUGGUCCGGGGUUCGAGUCCCUGAAGGCCCACCA